rnacentral:rRNA from 1 species
GAUGAACGCUGGCGGCGUGCUUAACACAUGCAAGUCGAACGGAAAGGCCGAAGCUUGCUUCGGUACUCGAGUGGCGAACGGGUGAGUAACCCGUGGGUGAUCUGCCCUGUACUUCGGGAUAAGCUUGGGAAACUGGGUCUAAUACCGGCUAUGACAAUCUCUUGGAUGGGGUUGUGGAAAGCUUUUGCGGUAUGGGAUGAGCUCGCGGCCUAUCCGCUUGUUGGUGGGGUAAUGGCCUACCAAGGCGUCGACGGGUAGCCGGCCUGAGAGGGUGUACGGCCACAUUGGGACUGAGAUACGGCCCAGACUCCUACGGGAGGCAGCAGUGGGGAAUAUUGCACAAUGGGCGCAAGCCUGAUGCAGCGACGCCGCGUGGGGGAUGACGGCCUUCGUGUUGUAAACUCCUUUCGCAACCGACGAAGCUUUUGUGACGGUAGGUUGAGAAGAAGCACCGGCUAACUACGUG